AUUGAACGCUGGCGGCAGGCCUAACACAUGCAAGUCGAGCGGAGCGGCGGACGGGUGAGUAAUGCCUAGGAAUCUGCCUGGUAGUGGGGGAUAACGUCCGGAAACGGGCGUUAAUACCGCAUACUACCAGAUGAGCCUAGGUCGAAUUAGCUAGUUGGUGGGGUAAAGGCCUACAAAGGCGACGAUCCGUAACUGGUCUGAGAGGAUGAUCAGUCAAACUGGAACAGAGACACGGUCCAGACUCCUACGGGAGGCAGCAGUGGGGAAAUUUGGACAAUGGGCGAAAGCCUGAUCCAGCCAUGCGGCGUGUAUGAUGAAGGUCUUCAGAUUAUAGAGCACUUUAAGUUGGGAGGCGUUACCAACAGAAUAAGCAUCGGAUAACUUCGUGACAGCAGCCGCGGUAAUAC
rnacentral:rRNA from 1 species